rnacentral:rRNA from 1 species
UACAGAGGUCUCAAGCGUUGUUCGGAUUCAUUGGGCGUAAAGGGUGUGUAGGUGGCGCCGUAAGUCGGGUGUGAAAUUUCGGAGCUUAACUCCGAAACUGCAUUCGAUACUGCGGUGCUUGAGGACUGGAGAGGAGACUGGAAUUCAUGGUGUAGCAGUGAAAUGCGUAGAUAUGCGGAGGAACACCGAUGGCGAAGGCAAUCCCCUGGGCCUGCACUGACGCUCAUGCACGAAAGCGUGGGGAGCAAACAGG